rnacentral:misc_RNA from 1 species
AACGCACAUUGCGCCCGCCAGUAUUCUGGCGGGCAUGCCUGUUCGAGCGUCAUUUCAACCCUCAAGCUCCGGCUUGGUGUUGGGGAUCGGCAGCCCGGCUUCGCGCCGUCGCCGUCCCCCAAAUGCAGUGGCGGUCACGCUGUAGCUUCCUAUGCGUAGUAGCACACCUCGCACUGGAAAGCAGCGCGGCCACGCCGUAAAACCCCCAACUUUUUGUGGUUGACCUCGAAUCAGGUAGGACUACCCGCUGAACUUAA